rnacentral:rRNA from 1 species
GACGAACGCUGGCGGCGUGCUUAACACAUGCAAGUCGAACGGAAAGGCCCUGCUUUUGUGGGGUGCUCGAGUGGCGAACGGGUGAGUAACACGUGAGUAACCUGCCCUUGACUUUGGGAUAACUUCAGGAAACUGGGGCUAAUACCGGAUAGGAGCUCCUGCUGCAUGGUGGGGGUUGGAAAGUUUCGGCGGUUGGGGAUGGACUCGCGGCUUAUCAGCUUGUUGGUGGGGUAGUGGCUUACCAAGGCUUUGACGGAUAGCCUGCAUGAGAGGGUGAACAGCGACAAUAGGCCUGAGGGACGGAGCAGACUGCAACGGGAGGCAACAGUCGAGAAUAUUACACAGUGAGGCGAAGCGUGAGACGGAGACGCCGGGUUCGGGAAGAAGGCCUUCGGGUUGGAAACCGCUGUAAGAUGAGACGAAGCGGGAGUGACGGUAAUGAGUAGAGAAGCACCGGCUAACUACGUG